AAAAUGUUUCAGCAACUAUUGUUGUAAACCAUCCAAUGAACAGUUAAGGGAGGAUACUAACUUAAAAGAUAUGGAGGAGAAUGAGUUAGAACAAAUCUGUGCUUGUGAUCUUUGUGAUUACAAAGCCAAUCACGGAAAUGCGCUUAACAAACAUAAAAUGGUUGUACAUAAGGUGGUUAAAGAAUAUAUUUGUGACUUAUGCAACUUCAGAAGUGGUCACCCAUCAGCCUUAAAGAGACAUAAAGAGAACCUUCAUGAUAAAACUAAUCAAAUUACUUAUCAUUGUGAUAUAUGUGAAUAUAAGACCAACUAUAAACAUGCUUUAAAGAGACACACCGCCAACAAGCACAACAAAGAUUCUCUAGUCAGCUACAAAUGUUCUUUCUGUGAUUAUGUUUCAACUUAUGACUUUAUUAUGGAGCGCCAUAUUACCACAAUGCAUAUAAAGGAGGGUGAACAUAGUUGUACCAAAUGUGAUUAUACCACUGUACAUAAACAAUCUUUAGACCGUCAUGUACGUAUUGUACAUGAAAGACCAAUGCGAUAUUCCUGCGGUGAAUGUGAUUUUAAAUCUGGGCACUCCUCAGCACUCCGCAUGCACACUGCGACAAUACACCAGUCCAGGAAAGCGUUUCACUGUGAUAUCUGUGGGUUUGAGACUCUCUACAAGACUGCACUGAUGAGACACAGUAAAACUGUGAACUGUAGUGGGAAAUAUAAAGGUGUAGGAGCUGGAAACCUACUGAAGCAGGAGAAUGAAGAGAAGAAGGAAAAAGGAAUCUCUCAAGAUAUAAUUCAUAUAGAUCCGUCAAGUGUGUCUAGUGCUGACUACAGUCGAGUUGAAAUCUCCAAACAGCUGAUUGACCCACUCGCCGGUACACACGCAUACUCUGUAGUUUUAAACAAGGAUUUUGUUCUUCAAGCACCCUCGCACGAGACUUUACCCACAAAACCUCUUGUUAUUAACACUUCCUCGGUCAAUUUUCCUAAAUCAGAGGAUGGGUUCAGUACAUCCCUUGUUUUCAACACUAAUCCAGCAUUAAGCAGUAUUACACUCAUAGAAAAGGAUGGAUUAUUGUAUCAAGUAACAGAUAAAUAUCGGUCUGGAGAUAUUAUUCAAGUUGCUGUUUCAUCUCAAGAAGAUAUUCUGAGGAUUGGAUCAGGGUAGAUACUUGUAACACCUACCGACACAAGAAUAUACUUGAUACCUACCGACACCAGCAGAUACCAGAGAAAAGUAUAUACUAGAUACCUACUGACACCAGCAGAUACCAGAGACAAUUGCCGACACUAUCAGAUACUAGAGUCACCAACCGACACCAGCAAAUACUGGAGUCACCAACCGACACUAUCAGAUACUAGAGUCACUAACCGACACCAACAAAUACUUGAGUCACCUACUUACACAAGUAAAUACAGAGACACCAACCGACACCAGCAGAUACUGGAGUCACCAACCGACACCAGCAGAUACUGGAGUCACAAACCGACACCAGCAGAUACUAGAGUCACCAACAGAAACCAGCAGAUACUGGAGUCACCAACCGACACCAGCAGAUACUGGAGUCACAAACCGACACCAGCAGAUACUAGAGUCACCAACAGAAACCAGCAGAUACUGGAGUUACCAACCGACACCAGCAGAUACUGGAUUCACAAACCGACAACAGCAGAUACUAGAGAAAAUUUCCGACACUAUCUGAUAGUACAGUCACCAACCACACUAGCAGAUAAUGGAGUCACAAACCGACACCAGCAGAUACUAGUCACCAACCGACACCAGCAAAUACUUUAGUCACCUACUUACACAAGUAAAUACUAGAGACACCUACCGACACCAGCAGAUACUUGAGUCACCUACUUACACAAGAAAAUACUAGAGACACCUACCGACACCAGCAGAUACUAGAGACACCUACUGACACCAGCAGAUACUAGAGACACUUAUCGACAACAACAGAUACUGGAGUCACAAACGGACACCAGUAAAUACUAGAGUCACCAACCGACACCAGCAAAUACUUGAGUCACCUACUUACACUAGUAAAUACUAGAGACACCUCCCGACACUAGCAGAUACUAUAGACACUUAUCGACACCAGCAGAUACUAGAGACACUUAUCUACAACAACAGAUAAUACUGGAGUCAAAAACCGACACCAGCAAAUACAAGAGUCACCAACUGACACCAGCAAAUACUUGAGUCACCUACUUACACAAGUAAAUACUAGAGACACCAGAAGAUACUAAUACUAGAGACACUUACCGACACCAGCAGAUACUAGAGACACCUACCGACAACAGCAGAUACAGAGACACCUACUUACACAAGAAGAUACAGAGACAUCUACCGACACCAGCAGAUACUAGAGACACCUACCGACACCAGCAGUUACUAGAGACAUCUACCAACACAAGGAAAAAAGAGAGAUACCUACCGAUACCAGCAUAUAUUAGAGACAUCUGUCGACAAAAUCAGAAUAUAGAAACAGUUACCGACCGACACCAUCAGAUUUUAGAGACACCUAUCGACACCAGCAGAUACUAGACACCUAACAACAACAACAGAUACUAGAGACAUAUAUCGACACCAGCAUAUACCAGAGACACUUUAUAACACCAGCAUAUAUCAGAGACAUCUAACCGACAAUAUUAUGAUGAGUAUUCUUUGAUAUAUUAAUGCAAAUUAAUCAUACAGUAGAACCCAUUAAACAGUGGAACAGUAUGAAGAAUGGUAACUAAGUUAUGAUUUUUAAUAGUCCAAUGAACAUUUCAAGUGUACACACUACACACUACACAGACCUUGUUUACUUAAGUGUAUUUUCUCGAUACUGAUCCGGAUCCAAGGGGCAAAAUAUCAACAAAAAUCUGCAAAAAAAACCAAAUAUGAACUAUUGAAAAAAGAGAGAUUAUAAAUAAAGCUAUGUAUUUAACAAUAUCUUAGUUUACGUAACUAUAUCUGAAAUAUUUGUCAGUGUAAUAUUUGAAUAUUAGAUUUGAUGCUAAAUUGUGGAAUGAAAACUGUUAAAUAUAUACUAAAUAUUAAAAA